GUCACCUCCCCUGUCUCUCUCUCUCUAUAUAUAUAUUUCAUUCUACACAUUGUCUCAUCUUAUACUUUGUAUCUGACACUCCAGGAACAUCAAGAUGGUUUCUGGCAGUUAUCUCCUGGCCGUCAUCUUCAUUUCUAUUCAGGGAUCCUGUGGAGAGAUUGUGAUGACCCAGACUCCAGAUUAUACCUCUGUGUCCCCAGGAGACACAGUCACCAUGUCAUGUAAAGCCAGUGAGAGUGUAUCCAAUGUGUUAGCCUGGUACCAACAGAAACCAGGAGAACGGCCAAAUCUUCUUAUCUACGCUGCAAGCAGCAGAUACACAGGAGUCCCAGACCGGUUCACUGGAUCUGGAUUUGGAACAGAUUUCACUCUGACAAUCAGAGGAGUGACAGAAGACGAUGCAGGACAUUAUUACUGUCAGCAGGGUUAUAGCUAUCCUCUCACACAGUGA